UGGCUGAUGUUUCCUUCUGGAUCUCUGACAGAGGAGGUGGUUGUUUUCUCCUUGUUUGUUUUUAACUGAUUAGCCAGGAACCUUCCAGAUUUGUUGCCAUGCUCAAAGUUCUCCAGGUGAAAUCUUUGCACCAACAAUUGCGUCUUUUUAUCUAUUAUUUCAUUAAGUUCAAGUUUAGCUUUCCAUAUAUCACAUCAGUUCUUCCGGCUGAGACAUGAAUCUCCCUCGGAUAUUGGUCAUUUACUCCGAAGUUCGUUCCCUUCACCUGCUCCUUCUGUUUGAAGCUGACGAACUUCGCUACAAUGGGUCUUGGUCUGCUGGACCCGGGUUUCCUCCCGCCGAGACGAUGGACUCUGUGAAAGGAGAUGUUUUUCACCGUUUCCUCCGGGAGCUUCAGGUGAAUCACUCUCAGGCCAUAAAUGUCACACCUACGUAACCCUGGGUUGUUGUUAAAGAGGAUGGGACCGUGCUAACGGCACACUGCACCUGUAAAGCUGUACUAGGAGAAGCAUGCUCCCAUGCAGCUGCACUGAUGUAUGCACUAUUGGCUGCAGUCAAUCUCAAAGAUGGACAGUCCAGCACUCAGAUGGUCUGUGCCUGGGUCCUCCCAAGCAAAACAUCUAAAAUCCAGUAUGAAGAAUUGGACAAAAUAUCAAUGACCAAAAAGAAUCCCUCAAAAGCCAACCAACUACCCAGCAUUCCUGUCCCUUCAGAAGAUGAGUACAUGAAGUUCUUCCAGCAGCUGCAUGAGUGUGAUGUUCAGGAUAGUAAUCCCAAAGGAACAGCUAUUUUGUCUGUGAUCGAGGGUCACUCUGACAGAUACAUACCAGAGACCCUCAAACUGAACUUGCCACAACCUCUAACAAGUCUGUUCUCAAAUGCAAGUUUACAGGCUGAUUUAUCAUCACUACUAGUAGAGAGUGAAAAGGUCUUUGACAAUCUUCAGCUAACAGAGCAAGAGAUGGGGGAAUCAAAAUGAGCCAGCAGCAAGGAUGCAUUACAUCACAGCAAUGCAAGAUCAUCACACAGAUCUUCAAGUGACAACAACAGGCCUCAUCAACCCAUCUUUGCCCUGGAUUGGUGCAUCACCAGAUGAGAUUGUUAACCGUGUCUGCCAUGGUAGAGGUGUGCUUGAGAUAAAAAUGUCUCUUUGUCCUCAAAGAUAGCUCUAUUUUCAACAGCUGUAAAACUGACCCAAAUUUCUGUCUGAUGGAAAAGAACAGUGUGAUUACACUAAAGGCCAAUCACAAAAACAUGUCACAAGUUCAAGCACAAAUGUGUAUUUUGGGUGUGCAGUAUUGUGACUUUGUUGUGUGGAGUCCGACUGAAACAUUUAUUCAGCGCAUUCAGUUUGAUGAAGUGUUCUAGUGCAAAAGUGCAAAAGAAGACACUUUCACAGGGCCUGCUUGCAUAUGUUCCAAAAGUGUGGAAAUGUUAUGAAUGCAGGAAGAUACAGAACAAAUGAGACCUUCCGUUGUUAUGCAUCAGAAAUUGUAAAAAACUAACAUUUGAGAAUCUUUAUUUUUUUAUUAUAUUUAGCCCAAGGUUACGUUUCCUAAUGUUUUCAUUCUAAUGAUUGUAUUCUGACUUACUGUACAUACUUUACAUUAAAUCUAGACUGAGUUGAGGAGAGUAUAAGUGAGGGGAGGAGGAAAGAAGAGGAGAGAGGCAGAGGAGGAAAUGAAAGGAGGGGGAAGGUGAGAGGAGAGCUAGAGGAAAAAAGGAUGAGGUGGGAAGA